rnacentral:sRNA from 25 species
UGACCACUUAUAUCUUUGCCUGUUAAGGGCAUAAAGAUUAAGUUAAGCCUAACGGACAGGCGGGUCGGUUGCCGG